CAUUGUCUAGAACAUUGUCUCUGUUGUUGCACGUCAAAUUGCGAAUGAACGGUGAAAAUGAUUUUUCCAUUAGCCAUUCAUUGGUCCAUGUCGUAUCUUCGUUCGUGCAUCAUCUUUCCAGUCUAUGCACCAUCUCUGAGGAUUGACGGAUUACAAAAGGUGCGACAAAACUGUACGUUCAAACUUGCGUAUAUUAUGGGGUUGUAGCAGAUGGAUGAUUUUGCGAGAAGCGCAGGCAACACUGCUACGGCCUGAGAGGUAUAUUCUGGUGGACAUCUCUCGAUGUUACCGUACUCAAUCGCUUUUCGGAAUUCAGCGAUCGUUCUGUCGUAGUUAGGUUCUGCAGAUCAACAAUUGACGACACCAAUAAAUUGAGAGAGGAGGAGGAGGCCUAGGAAAGGCAUCGGGCGCCGGCAAAGGAAUCCUAAAGUCAACAUAGCUUGCAGUUCGUUCCAGUAAACUGUGUGCAUCGAUUGAUAAGUAACAAAUUAUUAUUUUUACGAGGUAACGGUUUUGUAGAGAUUAGAGUGUGAAAAUGUAGAUUGUGUAGAUUGUAUGUAGAUAUUAGUUCCGUUACCUCUAGAAUAAUUAAGCACAUAUAUCUGAUGCGGCAUAAUGAUUAU